rnacentral:rRNA from 1 species
CAGCAGCCGCGGUAAUACAGAGGGUGCAAGCGUUAAUCGGAUUUACUGGGCGUAAAGCGCGCGUAGGCGGCUAAUUAAGUCAAAUGCGAAAUCCCCGAGCUUAACUUGGGAAUUGCAUUCGAUACUGGUUAGCUAGAGUGUGGGAGAGGAUGGUAGAAUUCCAGGUGUAGCGGUGAAAUGCGUAGAGAUCUGGAGGAACACCGAUGGCGAAGGCAGCCCCCUGGGUCAAAACUGACGCUCAUGCACGAAAGCGUGGGGAGCAAACAGGAUUAGAUACCCUGGUAGUCCACGCCCUAAACGAUGUCUACUAGUUGUUGGGUCUUAAUUGACUUAGUAACGCAGCUAACGCGUGAAGUAGACCGCCUGGGGAGUACGGUCGCAAGAUUAAAACUCAAAGGA